GGUCAGGCGGGACUACCCGCUGAAUUUAAGCAUAUCAAUAAGCGGAGGAA
rnacentral:rRNA from 1 species